rnacentral:rRNA from 1 species
AUUGAACGCUGGCGGCAGGCCUAACACAUGCAAGUCGAGCGAGCGGCGGACGGGUGAGUAAUGUCUGGGAAACUGCCUGACGGAGGGGGAUAACAACUGGAAACGGUAGCUAAUACCGCAUACCAUCAGAUGUGCCCAGAUGGGAUUAGCUAGGGGGUGGGGUAACGGCUCACCUAGGCGACGAUCCCUAGCGGGUCUGAGAGGAUGACCAGCCACACUGGAACUGAGACACGGUCCAGACUCCUACGGGAGGAAGCAGUGGGAAAUAUUGCACAAUGGGCGCAAGCCUGAUGCAGCCAUGCCGCGUGUGUGAAGAAGGCCUUCGGGUUGUAAAGCACUUUCAGCGGGGAGGCGUUACCCGCAGAAGAAGCACCGGCUAACUCCGUGCCAGCAGCCGCGGUAAUAC